rnacentral:tRNA from 1 species
CAGAGGGUAGUUUAAUUUAAAAUUUUAGCUUUGGGAGCUAAAGAUAGGAGUUAAAAUCUCUUCUCUUUGA